rnacentral:rRNA from 1 species
GACGAACGCUGGCGGCGUGCUUAACACAUGCAAGUCGAACGGAAAGGCCCUGCUUUUGUGGGGUGCUCGAGUGGCGAACGGGUGAGUAACACGUGAGUAACCUGCCCUUGACUUUGGGAUAACUUCAGGAAACUGGGGCUAAUACCGGAUAGGAGCUCCUGCUGCAUGGUGGGGGUUGGAAAGUUUCGGCGGUUGGGGAUGGACUCGCGGCUUAUCAGCUUGUUGGUGGGGUAGUGGCUUACCAAGGCUUUGACGGGUAGCCGGCCUGAGAGGGUGACCGGCCACAUUGGGACUGAGAGACGGACCAGACUCCUACGGGAGGCAGCAGUGGGGAAUAUUGCACAAUGGGCGGAAGCCUGUUGCAGCAACGCCGCGUGCGGGAUGACGGCCUUCGGGGUGUAAACCGCUUUCGCCUGUGACGAAGCGUGAGUGACGGUAAUGGGUAAAGAAGCACCGGCUAACUACGUG